rnacentral:rRNA from 1 species
AGCACAGUAAGAGCUUGCUCUUAUGGUGGCGAGUGGCGGACGGCUGAGGAAUACAUCGGAAUCUACUCUGUCGUGGGGGAUAACGUAGGGAAACUUACGCUAAUACCGCAUACGACCUACGGGUGAAAGCAGGGAUCUUCGGACCUUGCGCGAUUGAAUGAGCCGAUGUCGGAUUAGCUAGUUGGCCGGGGUAAAGGCCCACCAAGGCGACGAUCCGUAGCUGGUCUGAGAGGAUGAUCAGCCACACUGGAACUGAGACACGGUCCAGACUCCUACGGGAGGCAGCAGUGGGGAAUAUUGGACAAUGGGCGCAAGCCUGAUCCAGCCAUACCGCGUCGGUGAAGAAGGCCUUCGGGUUGUAAAGCCCUUUUGUUGGGAAAGAAAUCCAGCCGGCUAAUACCUGGUUGGGAUGACGGUACCCAAAGAAUAAGCACCGGCUAACUUCGUGCCAGCAGCCGCGGUAAUACGAAGGGUGCAAGCGUUACUCGGAAUUACUGGGCGUAAAGCGUGCGUAGGUGGUCGUUUAAGUCCGUUGUGAAAGGCCCUGGGCUCAACCUGGGAANCUGCAGUGGAUACUGGACGACUAGAGUGUGGUAGAGGGUA